rnacentral:rRNA from 1 species
GACGGAGGAUGCAAGCGUUAUCCGGAAUGAUUGGGCGUAAAGCGUCCGCAGGUGGCAGUUCAAGUCUGCUGUCAAAGACCGGGGCUUAACUUCGGAAAGGCAGUGGAAACUGAACAGCUAGAGUAUGGUAGGGGCAGAGGGAAUUCCUGGUGUAGCGGUGAAAUGCGUAGAUAUCAGGAAGAACAUCGGUGGCGAAGGCGCUCUGCUGGACCAUAACUGACACUCAGGGACGAAAGCUAGGGGAGCGAAUAGG